rnacentral:rRNA from 1 species
GAUGAACGCUGGCGGCGUGCCUAAUACAUGCAAGUCGAGCGAACAGACGAGGAGCUUGCUCCUCUGACGUUAGCGGCGGACGGGUGAGUAACACGUGGAUAACCUACCUAUAAGACUGGGAUAACUUCGGGAAACCGGAGCUAAUACCGGAUAAUAUAUUGAACCGCAUGGUUCAAUAGUGAAAGACGGUUUUGCUGUCACUUAUAGAUGGAUCCGCGCCGCAUUAGCUAGUUGGUAAGGUAACGGCUUACCAAGGCAACGAUGCGUAGCCGACCUGAGAGGGGGACCGGCCAAACUGGACUGGGGAACGGGUCCAGACUCCUAGGGGAGGAAGAAGUAGGGAAUCUUCCGAAAGGGGCGAAAGCCGGACGGAGAAACGCCGGGGGAGUGAUGAAGGUCUUCGGAUCGUAAAACUCUGUUAUUGGGGAAGAACAAAUGUGUAAGUAACUAUGAACGUCUGGACGGUACCUAAUCAGAAAGCCACGGCUAACUACGU